rnacentral:rRNA from 1 species
UACGUAGGGUGCGAGCGUUGUCCGGAAUUAUUGGGCGUAAAGAGCUCGUAGGCGGUUUGUUGCGUCUAUCGUGAAAACCUGGGGCUUAACCCCGGGCCUGCGGUGGAUACGGGCAGACUUGAGUUCGGUAGGGGAGACUGGAAUUCCUGGUGUAGCGGUGAAAUGCGCAGAUAUCAGGAGGAACACCGGUGGCGAAGGCGACACGCUGGGCCGUACCUGACGCUAAAGCGCGACAGCAUGGGGAGCAAACGGG